rnacentral:tRNA from 1 species
CUUCAUGGCUCAGUGAAAAAGUAUCUGUUUUGCAUACAGAAGGUCUCAAGUUCAAUCCCAGAAUCUUGUGAAAAGA